rnacentral:lncRNA from 1 species
AUUUUUUUAGUUGAAUCUGUCUGAGAAGAGAGAGCUUUCUCUCAACCGGCCUCCUGGAGUUUAGGUGUUAAAUGGCCCCUUGAGUUUGUAAUCCUCAAAAAUAUGGUUAGCUGCUCAUGGGAGACCGCAGCAUUCAACCGAUUCUCGUCAGCUCAUAAAUGGAUGCAAGGUAGGGUGAGAUGGUAGAUAUGAUGCCAUAAAUGAAAGUGAGCGCCCCUGUUUCCUGAUUUUCAAGGUGCCGACAAGAGAUUAAGAUCUCAGCCAAUUGAAACCGUGGAGCUGUUUGCUUCUCUUUCAUGUGGGUCACGAUUUACCUUUAUGCAGGGCUAAAAUCAUGGAAUGGAUUAAGGUGUUUCUCCUUUCUUCUUCUCCAGUGACUCUCAAAGCUUCUUUCUUGUCAAAAAAUGGGUUGUGUUUUGGCUGGGUAGGGGGGAAAUGAUAAAGAUGGUGGUAAAAACUGGGCGGCGGGGAUGGGUUAUUUGGUUGUUGCUCCCAAGUAAAUAGUGUCAAUUGGCUGUGUUGGUAUCUCAAGAGAGGAAAAUGAGGGGGCGGCAGCGGGGAUGGAUUUUUUAUUUGAUAAGAAAUUGCACAUGGUUUUUGAUAAAAGCCGAGACAACCCAUUUUUCUUUCGUUUCUGUUUAUUUUCCGUUUCCUGUCGGUGUUUAGCCCAAAUCAAAUGCAACUU